UUGGCCUUUUGAUAUUUCUGCUCUGCUGUCAUAGCACCUGGUGUCUAAAUACUUAGAGCGUGGUUUAUGGAGUAUAACAGCCUGAAUGGAAAACGUCUGGCUUUCAGCAAGUCUUAAAACUAUCUAAGACUCACUUUUUCUUCUAUAAGGUACAGGAGAUAGAAGUUUAUUGGAUACCCUGCAAGGAAGCAGUGGGAAGACAGCAGAGGAGAGGCUGUCUGCCUUAUUGAUACCAUUCAUAUUCCAGAACGAUAAAGAUGAAAAGUACAAUCUGAAAAAGGAUAGCAUAUCUACAGUGAUAUAUGCCUUUGUCGUUUUAACAAUAUGCCAGCCUUGCACCUCUGCUGCUCCUGUGGUAUCCAAUCACAAGAUGAAAAACUUUUGGAAAUAUCUUUGUACAACAGGCCUACUCAUAUGCUCAUCAAAGAAAUCAAUCCAACUGUUGAGUGUUUGGGUUGCUGCCCCUCUUUAGUUCCUGAGGAUUUCCAUGGUUGGUAUCACCUCCGCCCCAGGAAAGGGAUUAGAAGACACUAAAAUAGUAUAUUAAAUAAUAAGCUACACUGGA